rfam:Brassica napus, WGS project CCCW01000000 data, contig: 25956
GAAAGUUUAGAAACUGUUUCUUAACUUUUAACUAAAAAAAACUAAGAACCGGUUCUUAAAUAAAGACUUUAAGAACCGGUUCUUAGCUUUUCUAGUUAAAAGUUAAGAAACAGUUUCUUAAUUUCC